GGGGCCCGGCACAAGCGGUGGAGUAUGUGGUUUAAUUCGAUGCAACGCGAAGAACCUUACCUGGUCUUGACAUCCCGGAGACCCUUAGGAAACUAGGGGUGCUUCCAUCUGGAAGAAUCUGGAGACAGGUGCUGCAUGGCUGUCGUCAGCUCGUGUCGUGAGAUGUUGGGUUAAGUCCCGCAACGAGCGCAACCCUUGCCUUUAGUUGCCAGCAGUUCGGCUGGGCACUCUAAAGGGACUGCCGGUGUUAAACCGGAGGAAGGUGGGGAUGACGUCAAGUCCUCAUGGCCUUUAUGACCAGGGCUACACACGUACUACAAUGGCCGAUACAAAGGGCAGCGACACUGCGAGGUGAAGCCAAUCCCGUAAAAUCGGUCUCAGUCCGGAUUGGAGUCUGCAACUCGACUCCAUGAAGUUGGAAUCGCUAGUAAUCGUGAAUCAGAAUGUCACGGUGAAUACGUUCCCGGGCCUU
rnacentral:rRNA from 1 species